AGCUUUCUGAAUCCAUGUUGAGAUUUCAUCAGACACCAACCCAUUACGGCUGAUCAGACUUCCAAGAUAAGUGAAGUU
rnacentral:pre_miRNA from 1 species